rnacentral:rRNA from 1 species
CCUACGGGAGGCAGCAGUGAGGAAUAUUGGUCAAUGGACGAGAGUCUGAACCAGCCAAGUAGCGUGAAGGAUGACUGCCCUAUGGGUUGUAAACUUCUUUUAUAUGGGAAUAAAACGUUCCACGUGUGGGAUUUUGUAUGUACCAUAUGAAUAAGGAUCGGCUAACUCCGUGCCAGCAGCCGCGGUAAUACGGAGGAUCCGAGCGUUAUCCGGAUUUAUUGGGUUUAAAGGGAGCGUAGGUGGAUUGUUAAGUCAGUUGUGAAAGUUUGCGGCUCAACCGUAAAAUUGCAGUUGAAACUGGCAGUCUUGAGUACAGUAGAGGUGGGCGGAAUUCGUGGUGUAGCGGUGAAAUGCUUAGAUAUCACGAAGAACUCCGAUUGCGAAGGCAGUUCACUGGACUGCAACUGACACUGAGGCUCGAAAGUGUGGGUAUCAAACAGGAUUAGAUACCCCGGUAAUC